UCUUUCUUCACUUUUCCCUCAGACCUUCACCAAACAACAAAGCCAUUUCUAGGGUUAGAGAGCCCCAAUCUCAUACUUUCUCUUCAGAUCGGCCUCCGAUAUGCCUUCUUUCAAUCCCCUUCAUGAGUUCUGCGAGUUUUGCAUAAACCACUCCUCCGUUCAUCCGGUCGCUAGCGCCGCCGCCACAGCGGAAGGAAGAUCCGUCACAGUGGAUGCUCUCCGGUUCGCUUGCCCGAUGACGUCUCUCUAAAUGUUGCCACCGCUGAAAGAUCCGGUGCCAUAGAAAGCGACAACAGUGGCGUCAAGGAGAGGAACAUCAAUUGGCCUCCACCGCCGGAGUUACGCGUCGCCGCCUCACACAACCCAGGGUUGAAAUUUGGGGCUUUGCACACUGGUUGAAAUUUGGAACUGAUAAACAUCAGGAUGGCUGACAAAUAAGGCUGAAAAAGAAACAGAUGUAGUGCAAGAGCUCCUGCUACACCUGCAUCACCAGCUCUAAGAAGUCCUUCUUCAUCAACUAUGACUGCUUCUCGAGAGGGUGUGCGUGCAAGAGCUGCUGCUUUGCGUCGAUGAGCAGCCACCACAUGUUUCAAGAGAUUCCUUCCACUAACUGAAGCAGCCAAGGACAGAAGAAGAAAGUUUGAUCGAUUCUGUAAAAAUAAAGAAUUAGAAGAGUGAUAUGACCUGAGAUAUUUAGGGUUGACUGUAAUUAUGUCAUGUUUCAAUGCGAUUACAGGUAUGGAUUUUGAAUUUGAAUAAUAAAAUAUUUGGGGAUGUUUUUUCUGUUUUGAUAAUUAUUAGGAUUUUUAAUUGGUGUUGAUCAUUUAAUUUUGUUUUUUAUUAUUUUUCGGCAUGUAGUUCUUCCGGCUGUCGUGUAAGACGGCAGUAUACCUUUUUCAGCCGUUAGAUGAGUCGAUUCUUGAACUAUGAUACACACGUAUCUUUGUUCAUUCUUUUACAUUUUCUUCAACGCUACCAAAUACCAAUGGCUGGUAGCUCUCUGGCUCUCUCUUGAACAUUUUCAAUUCAAUUUUUAAGUUGGUUCUCAAUAUUUUCAUCAAUUUGAUUUAUAGCUAGCUUUUAGUUUUUGGGUACCUCUGACUUUGUUAUUAUUUGAUUGAAUUUGGCUGUAGGAGUGAGAUUAGUAGCUGAACAUUUUAUGUCUGAUGAGUUAUUUGCUGGUUGGUGGUAAUUGCUGAAAGGCUGAAGUGUAGUCUUAUAUGCACGCAAAGGCUGAAGGUGUAACAACAAUCAAAGGCUUAAGUGUUGUACCAGCAGGUCGCUUAUGGCAACAUCGACAACAUCAAAGCUCUUCACGGAGAAGGUGUUGGACUUGAGAUUCUUCCGGAAUGUCAGCUGAAGAUCCUGAUUGCGAUGGAGAUGAUGACAACCAUGAAAAGGUCAUUCAUGAGGUUUAGAGCUUCCAAUAAUAAGUUUCUUUUGCAGUCAAUCAUGUAAAAAAGGAAAAAAAAUAAUCUCCAUUGUUGGAAAAGUGAGAUACAAGAAUCCGCUUUGCGUCGAUGAGCAGCCACCACAUGUCUGUUAUUAAAAAAAACACACACACCAGCCACUUGCUGACCGCAUGGCCAUGAAGCUAGGGAGGAAGCAAGGCUCACAGUGGUAUCAAUAUGAUGUACCAGCCAGAGGAGUCUCAUAAGGAUUUGUACUUAUCAGAGCUACAUCUGUUUUAGAUGUCAAUUUAUCUAAUUUUCAUGAACAUGAACCUUGAUUUGCUGCUGUACUAUUUUAAUUUAAAAAAAAACACAUACACAACUUUAGCUGAAACAACGCUUAUGUGAUUGUGUGUUGUAUAUACUUGGUUGAUCUAUUUAACUGCGAAUGUAGUUGCAAGGCAUGCUUAAGUUCAGACA